rnacentral:rRNA from 1 species
UACGGGGGGGGCAAGCGUUGUUCGGAAUUACUGGGCGUAAAGGGCUCGUAGGCGGCCAACUAAGUCAGACGUGAAAUCCCUCGGCUUAACCGGGGAACUGCGUCUGAUACUGGAUGGCUAGAGUUUGGGAGAGGGAUGUGGAAUUCCAGGUGUAGCGGUGAAAUGCGUAGAUAUCUGGAGGAACACCGGUGGCGAAGGCGGCAUCCUGGACCGGCAUUGACGCUGAGGAGCGAAAGCCAGGGGAGCAAACGGG